CCUACGGGUGGCAGCAGUGGGGAAUAUUGGACAAUGGGCGAAAGCCUGAUCCAGCCAUGCCGCGUGUGUGAAGAAGGCCUUCGGGUUGUAAAGCACUUUCAGUGGGGAAGAAAGCCUUGGGGCUAAUACCCCCGAGGAAGGACAUCACCCACAGAAGAAGCACCGGCUAACUCCGUGCCAGCAGCCGCGGUAAUACGGAGGGUGCGAGCGUUAAUCGGAAUUACUGGGCGUAAAGCGCGCGUAGGCGGUCUGAUAAGCCGGUUGUGAAAGCCCCGGGCUCAACCUGGGAACGGCAUCCGGAACUGUCAGGCUAGAGUGCAGGAGAGGAAGGUAGAAUUCCCGGUGUAGCGGUGAAAUGCGUAGAGAUCGGGAGGAAUACCAGUGGCGAAGGCGGCCUUCUGGACUGACACUGACGCUGAGGUGCGAAAGCGUGGGUAGCAAACAGGAUUAGAUACCCGAGUAGUC
rnacentral:rRNA from 1 species